UGGGGGCCCUUAUUGAGCGCUUCAUUGGCCAUUGCGCUCCCACGGGUUAGGGAGGGAAAAUCGGAUGGGGUUGGUUCACCUCACUGUGCCACAGCAACCCCUGGGCAGGCACCUGUCGAGACUGGGCAGAGACCAGCCAAGCUGACUGUAACUGUUUCCUUCCAGGGUUCAAUAGCUUGGCCACAUUUGCUGCUUAGGUUCGUCAGGUGAAACGUUGCGAUUGGCUAGACUCUGUGGUCAGUAUGUGGGUUGCUGCAGUGAGGGGACACGGAAAUUGGGCAUUUCAAAUUAGGGAGAAAUAUUGGGCAUUUCAAAAUAGGGUGAAUAUCCAGGCCUUUCAAAUUGGGAAAAGAAUAUUUAGGCAUUUGAAAUCGGCAGAGGUAAAUAACUAAUUGGGCACACUAAAUCAAACAUUGUCAUGAAUCCAGGCAUUUUAUGAAUCCUUUAUUCCCAAAAGGAAACCCACCAUUAACCAACACACCUAUCAGAAACCUGGACAACAAAGACAAUCAGAACCCACUGGCAGUUCUGAAAGCACCCAUGGCGGAUUGUGCAGAAAAGAAGACAUCUUCUUUUUAGCUGCCAUCCAUGGGUAUCAAUAGGAACCCAGUUUAGCCUCUUUGUUGUCCACUGGCAGUCCUGACUCACCCAUGGUGGAAUGUGCAGAGAAGAAGCAGCCUUCUUUUUUGCUGCCAUCUAUGGGUGGAAACAGGGAUCAAGUGGAGCUUCUUCCAUUGGAUGAGGAGCUGGAUCACACAGCUGAUAACCCACUGACAGUCCUGACUCACCCAUGGUGGAAUGUGCAGAGAAGAAGCAGCCUUCUUUUUUGCUGCCAUCUAUGGGUGGAAACAGGGAUCAAGUGGAGCUUCUUCCAUUGGAUGAGGAGCUGAAUCAUAGAGCUGAUAAUUGUCCUGCAUCGCUAUGGACACAGCAACGAUCAUCUAUUGCAUUGUAUCUGAUGUGAUGGACACAUAACCUCCUAAACCAGUGAGAACUGUGGCCCUCAAGCACAGUCUUGAGCUUUACCAGCUCUACAGAUUCUUUUAUUGCUGGUUUGUCAA